GCCAGGCGUGGUGGCUCAUGCCUGUAAUCCCAGCACUUGGGAGGCUGAGGUGGGUGGAUCACCUGAGGUCAGGAGUUCGAGACCAGCUUGAUCAAUAUGGUGAAAGCCCGUCUCUA
rnacentral:SRP_RNA from 2 species